AUCUUCAAAAAAAACAAAAAAACACUAAAAUACGGGCAAAUUAUUUAAAAUGGGAAAACUGCAAGUACCUAGGGUAAGACUCACCUGCAUUUCUAGAUAUUUUGUUUCCGUCGUCCAAGAAAAAUGGACGCCGUCGUCGCCUCCGGGUAGCAAGCCCCCACCUGGGCCCGGGCAGCCGGGCCCUUUCCUCACAAACCAGCCCCGCGGGAGCGCAGCACGGCUGGCCCGCAUGCGCAGAGCGAGGCCGCGCCUCGUCUUGCGCGUCACGUGACAGGCGCUGCGAGCGUAGCGCAUGCGCUCUUGUUACUAGUGGGCAAACGUAGGAGGUGGCGGCUCUCCUGGCCAAUCUCCUGUUACAUCCUUACCCCCUGCUGCCAGCCCCACACACAGCCUGGUGGUAAAUCUGGUCCUGUAGGUUAUGGGGCUGGGCGCUGUUCCCAGGUGGGCUUGUUCCUCCUGAUCAGGAAGCUACGAGCUGUGCCCACCCACCCCCUGCGCAUAGGCAGCCGCGGCGGCAGCUCCUGUGUCUGCGGCGCCAGAGACCGAAAGAGGCGGCAGCUACCAAGGAGGAAUCACAAUUUGAAACAAAGUGCAGUUUACGGUAAUAUUAGGAAAUAUGCACCCAGAAAUAAGUGUGAGCAUCCUGAGACCGCCAUGCUGGAGAGGUCUCAGGUAGGCCCCCUGGUAGGCAGCACCGGCCUCACAGGCCUCUCUGCAGAGGCCCCGGACGCAGGCACGAGAGAAGCCUUCGCAGACCAGAUGGCCACGACGUCGCCUCAGCGGACACCAACUAGGUACCGCAUAUUUCCCUUCUCUUCCCUUGCUGCAUGGUCACAGCGGGCUGCGAGCUCCAUCACCUGAACAAGUUAUCAAGAGGACGCUCAUAUACAGUAGCUGUAUAGCAAGAAGGAGCUCCUAACAGGGCCAGUCAGAGUCAAGAAAGGAAUAAUGGAUUCAAUCAAAGACGACAGUUGCAUUCAUCUGGUCGAAAUCUAGCUCGAUCACAAUCUGCUAAAGCCAAGCCUCUUCCAAAUUCAAAUCCACCAAGAUCCAUCUUGUCUCAGUAUCACCAAAACUUAGCUAGCCAGUCACUAAGCAGAUCAACCAAUUCAAAGUUACUUCCUCCUAAAAAGCAACUUCCUUUUAAGUCAUCUAUCCCAAAAAAACUAGCAAAACUACAAACUCAUUCAAAUAAAGCUAGCCAACCAAAACUAGGUCCAACUGAGAACAGUUCAAAAACUCAAAGUAGGUCUAGGCAGUCACAAGUUUACCAAAAUAACUCUAUUCAAAAAAGGCCUCAUUUCAAGUCAACUAUUCACAAUAGACCCCACUCAUUACAUCCUGGUCAAUUACAGUACUCUAAAAAACAGCCUCAAAAAUCCCAAUAUCCUCCAAAUCCAUCUAUUAAAAAAGUGAUAAAGCCAUUCAAAUCUCUUUCAAAUACAGCUCUUCAGCAAAAACCUCAACUAACGAAGCAUAAUCCUAAUUCACACACUCUACAAAAAGCUAGCCUAAACAAGCCACAUCCAAAUGAAUUUGUUAAAAGAAGAACCAGACAAAGAAAGCCUAAUUCAAAAGCACUUGUCCAAAAUAUACCAAGCCACACCAAAACUCAUCUAGAAGCACCUGGUGGAAGAAAACGUAUACAGCCGCUCAAUCCAAGAAAAUGUCUACAACCAUCUAGUCAAGGAAGACGUCCACAGUCAUCUAAUCGAAGACAACACCCACAUCCACUUGGUCAAAAGAUACCAAAUCCACUAAUUAAAGUACCCAGACAAGUUAAGCCUUGUAUUAGGCCACACAUUCAAAACAAACCUGAAUCACACCACUAUCAUCCACAUGUACCUCUUUCUCCAGACAACCCAUAUCCGUCUCCCUUCAUUCCCAGCCUGAAACCUCAGGUGCAACCAACUAGCAAAGUGGUAAGCACCAGAACCCAAGUCUUAAACACAACUCCGUUUGCUGCCAUUGCCACCACAACUCCCCACUACACUCUCAGCUCCAACACAAUCUCAGCUACAACCACAAACAAAAUAUCAUCUGAUCUCAUCUUCAAAAGUACAACUCCUUCUGAUAUCACAGUUUCCAGUCCUAAAACCCAAGUUCCAGUCACCAUUCCAUUCACUGCUGCAACCACGUCUAAUGCUCCAACUACCGAGAUUUCACCUCCCCUUGUUACUGCCACUACUCUUCCUGCCACCAUGCAAACAACUCCUUUUACCUUACAUACCAUACUCAAGAUGACCACUGAGUCAGGAUAUGAAACAACAGAACUUCCCUACAGCAGCACUAACCCUGAUAAUAACUACAUAUAUGAAACUACAGAAUCUUAUUACUAUGAUGAAUUUGAUGUCUCUAAUUCUGAAAUUACAGCAUCCACCUAUACCACUCCAAAACCUGCCUCUACCGCCAACUAA
rnacentral:lncRNA from 1 species